UACGUAGGGUGCGAGCGUUAAUCGGAAUUACUGGGCGUAAAGCGUGCGCAGGCGGUUUUGUAAGACAAGCGUGAAAUCCCCGGGCUCAAACUGGGAAUGGCGCUUGUGACUGCAAAGCUGGAGUGCGGCAGAGGGGGAUGGAAUUCCGCGUGUAGCAGUGAAAUGCGUAGAUAUGGGGAGGAACACCGAUGGCGAAGGCAAUCCCCUGGGCCUGCAAUGACGCUCAUGCACGAAAGCGUGGGGAGCAAACAGG
rnacentral:rRNA from 1 species